GAUUGCGAUCAUACCAGCACUAAUGCACCGGAUCCCAUCAGAACUCCGCAGUUAAGCGUGCUUGGGCGAGAGUAGUACUAGGAUGGGUGACCCCCUGGGAAGUCCUCGUGUUGCAACCC
rnacentral:rRNA from 1 species